GAGGGUAUAGCUCAGUGGUAGAGCGUGUGCCUAGCAUGCACAAGGUCCUGGGUCCAAUCCCCCAAUACCUCCA
rnacentral:tRNA from 1 species